UACGUAGGGGGGCAAGCGUUGUCCGGAAUCAUUGGGCGUAAAGAGAGUGUAGGCGGCCCGGUAAGUCCGCUGUGAAAGUCCAGGGCUCAACCCCUGGGAUGCCGGUGGAUACUGUCGGGCUCGAGUCCGGAAGAGGAGUGUGGAAUUCCUGGUGUAGCGGUGAAAUGCGCAGAUAUCAGGAGGAACACCAAUGGCGAAGGCAGCACUCUGGGACGUGACUGACGCUGAGACGCGAAAGCGUGGGGAGCAAACAGG
rnacentral:rRNA from 1 species